AUUGAACGCUGGCGGCAGGCCUAACACAUGCAAGUCGAACGGUAACAGGAAACAGCUUGCUGUUUCGCUGACGAGUGGCGGACGGGUGAGUAAUGUCUGGGAAACUGCCUGAUGGAGGGGGAUAACUACUGGAAACGGUAGCUAAUACCGCAUAACGUCGCAAGCCCAAAGAGGGGGACCUUCGGGCCUCUUGCCAUCGGAUGUGCCCAGAUGGGAUUAGCUAGUAGGUGGGGUAACCGCUCCCCUAGGCGACGAUCCCUAGCUGGUCUGAGAGGAUGACCGGCCACACUGGAACUGAGACACGGUCCAGACUCCUACGGGAGGCAGCAGUGGGGAAUAUUGCACAAUGGGCGCAAGCCUGAUGCAGCCAUGCCGCGUGUAUGAAGAAGGCCUUCGGGUUGUAAAGUACUUUCAGCGGGGAGGAAGGGAGUAAAGUUAAUACCUUGACUCAUUGACGUUACCCGCAGAAGAAGCACCGGCUAACUCCGUG
rnacentral:rRNA from 1 species